rnacentral:rRNA from 1 species
CCUACGGGUGGCUGCAGUGGGGAAUAUUGGACAAUGGGCGAAAGCCUGAUCCAGCCAUGCCGCGUGUGUGAAGAAGGCCUUCGGGUUGUAAAGCACUUUCAGUGGGGAAGAAAGCCUUGGGGCUAAUACCCUCGAGGAAGGACAUCACCCACAGAAGAAGCACCGGCUAACUCCGUGCCAGCAGCCGCGGUAAUACGGAGGGUGCGAGCGUUAAUCGGAAUUACUGGGCGUAAAGCGCGCGUAGGCGGUCUGAUAAGCCGGUUGUGAAAGCCCCGGGCUCAACCUGGGAACGGCAUCCGGAACUGUCAGGCUAGAGUGCAGGAGAGGAAGGUAGAAUUCCCGGUGUAGCGGUGAAAUGCGUAGAGAUCGGGAGGAAUACCAGUGGCGAAGGCGGGCUUCUGGACUGACACUGACGCUGAGGUGCGAAAGCGUGGGUAGCAAACAGGAUUAGAUACCCGGGUAGUC